rnacentral:lncRNA from 1 species
UAAUAGGAUCUUAGAUCUAGAGAUUCUCUAAUUUUAGAAAAUAAUUUUGAUUUAUUUUAGUCUUCCACUGUAUGAUCUUGAAAAAGUUUCAAGAUCUAACCCUGAAACCCUAGAUCUGGUUCCUACACAAGGGAUCUGAAGAAUAUUUUUUAGAUUAACAAUUUUAUUGCAGCCUCGUAUGGAUCACCUGUAGAGGCCAGACACAUGUGCGGCUCCAAAGGAAACAAAGAAAAUCAAUCAUGGAGUUCUUGACCUGCAUGAAGAUAAGAGAUCUGAUCUCUUCUUUUAUCUAGAUAUGAUCUAGGUUUUAGAUCUAAAAAUAUUUUAGAUCUAGGGUAUUGAUUUGAUCAAUACCAAAUCUUUUAUUUUUUGAUUUAUAAAUACAAUAUGACAUGUUAUAGGUCCUAAUUGUAGGGUUUAGUA